rnacentral:rRNA from 1 species
CAGAGACUGCAAGCGUUAUUCGGAUUCACUGGGCGUAAAGGGUGCGCAGGCGGUUGGGUGUGUCAGAUGUGAAAUCCCGAGGCUUAACCUCGGAACUGCGUCUGAAACUACUCGACUAGAGUACUGGAGAGGGUAACGGAAUUCACGGUGUAGCAGUGAAAUGCAUAGAUAUCGUGAGGAACACCAGAGGCGAAGGCGGUUACCUGGACAGUUACUGACGCUCAGGCACGAAAGCAUGGGGAGCAAAAGGGAUUAGAUACCCCUGUAGUCCAUGCCCUAAACGGUGCACACUAGGUCUUAGCGGAUUCGACCCCACUAGGGCCCAAGCUAACGCGUUAAGUGUGCCGCCUGAGGACUACGGUCGCAAGACUA